rnacentral:rRNA from 1 species
CCAGACUCCUACGGGAGGCAGCAGUGGGGGAUAUUGCACAAUGGGGGGAACCCUGAUGCAGCGACGCCGCGUGGGUGAAGGAGUGCUUCGGCAUGUAAAGCCCUAUCGGCAGGGAAGAAGCAAGACGGUACCUGACUAAGAAGCCCCGGCUAACUACGUGCCAGCAGCCGCGGUAAUACGUAGGGGGCGAGCGUUAUCCGGAUUUACUGGGUGUAAAGGGGGCGCAGACGGCAGCGCAAGCCAGGAGUGAAAGCCCGGGGCCCAACCCCGGGACUGCUCUUGGAACUGCGCGGCUGGAGUGCAGGAGGGGCGGGCGGAAUUCCUGGUGUAGCGGUGAAAUGCGUAGAUAUCAGGAGGAACACCGGCGGCGAAGGCGGCCUGCUGGACCGUAACUGACGUUGAGGCUCGAAAGCGUGGGGAGCAAACAGGAUUAGAUACCCUGGUAUA